rnacentral:rRNA from 1 species
GAUGAACGCUAGCGACAGGCCUAACACAUGCAAGUCGAGGGGCAUCGGGGUGUAGCAAUACGCUGCCGGCGACCGGCGGAUGGGUGAGUAACGCGUAUGCAACCUGCCUUCAGCAGGGGGAUAGCCCGUUGAAAGACGGAUUAAUACCCCGUAACACAGGGGCUCCGCAUGGAGAUUAUUGUUAAAGGGAUGCUUCCUUCGGGGAGUAUUCCGGCUGAAGAUGGGCAUGCGUUCCAUUAGGUAGUUGGUUGAGGUAACGGCUCACCAAGCCUGCGAUGGAUAGGGGAACUGAGAGGUUGGUCCCCCACACUGGUACUGAGACACGGACCAGACUCCUACGGGAGGCAGCAGUGAGGAAUCUGGUCAAUGGACGGAAGUCUGAACCAGCCAUGUCGCGUGAAGGAGGACGGCCCUAAGGGUUGUAAACUUCUUUUGCAGGGGAAUAAAGUAUUCCACGAGAUGGGAUAUUGCAAGUACGCUGCGAAUAAGGAUCGGCUAACUCCGUG